GGUAAUAGCUCAGUGGUAAAGCCCAUGCUUAGCAUGCAUGAGGUCCUGGGUUCAAUCCCCAGAACCU
rnacentral:tRNA from 1 species